rnacentral:rRNA from 1 species
UACAGAGGUGGCAAGCGUUGUUCGGAAUUACUGGGCGUAAAGAGCUCGUAGGCGGUUCGAUAAGUCGGGUGUGAAACCUCCAGGCUCAACCUGGAGACGCCACCCGAUACUGUCGUGACUAGAGUCCAGUAGGGGAGCGUGGAAUUCCUGGUGUAGCGGUGAAAUGCGCAGAUAUCAGGAGGAACACCAGCGGCGAAGGCGGCGCUCUGGGCUGGAACUGACGCUGAGGAGCGAAAGCGUGGGGAGCGAACAGG